rnacentral:sRNA from 1 species
GCUGUAGCAAAAUCUGCAGCCGGGCGUGAGAACCCGCGAGACAAUCAGCGCACAACACGCGCUUGCGUGUUUUUU